CGCGUACUGCGUGCGUGAACAACAGGGGCGAUAUUGUCGCGUACUCGAGAAAAACGAUAAAAGCCCUAAGUAUACCGAAUGACAUUAUUCGUUUUCCAUUUACUGCCGGUCAUUCCACAAAAACGCGUUGCAAAUAAACUGCCCGGCGUGUUUGUUUCGAUUUUAAAUCCGACGCGUCGACGGCCGAUCAAUCAAUCAGCACGCCCACUGUCCAAAGUGUAUUAAAUAUAUUACAACGACCCCGCGCGAUCACAUUGUCAUUUGGGUUUUCACUAUCGAAAUUGUUUUAAGAA